GACAAACCCUGUGCAGCGGGCUUAUCACAUGCAAGUCGCACAAUAACGCUCCCGCUUCCGCCGAUGCUGUUACGGUGGCUGACUGGUGCGUAUCGCUUAAAUAACCUGCCCUCAUGCCCGAGACACUCUCAGGAAACCUUGGCUCAUACCGCACUUCGUCUGGGCACCCCAUGGGGACCAGAUGACACCUUGUGGUUACCCACUCGCCUUUGGAUAGGUCUGCCUUGGAUUAGCUUGUUGGUGAACUAAUAUCUCACCCAGGACACGAUCGCAUAUCUGGUCUUAAAGGACUAUCCUCUACUCUGGGAAUGAUACCCGGCCCACACUCCUACGGCACGCACCUUUGGGGAAUCUUGCUCAAUGGGGUCACCCCUGAUGCAGCCAUGCCUCGUGCCAGGAAUACACCCCUAUGGGGCGUAAACUCCUUUUCUGAACCAACAAACCCCUGUAAGUUCAAGGCUCGACUGUAUUUCAUGAAUAGGCACCACGCUAACUCCGUGCCAGCAGCCGCAGUGAUACUGACGGUGCAAGCAUUGUCCCGAAUCACUCGGGUGUAAAGGGUGUGCACGCGGCGCAUCCAGUCAGAUGUGAAACCCCAUAGCUCAUCCAUGGACGUGCAUUCUAAACUGUUGCUCUUGACUCCCACACACGCUGUCGGACUUACUGGUGUACCGCUGAAAUGCAUACAUAUCACAAGGAACAAUAUAAGCGACAUCGCUCACCUGGACUGAUACUGACGCUCACGCGCGACAGCGUGAGGAGCAUACAGGCUUAGAUACACGUGUAGUGCAUGCCGUCAACGAUGAACGACUCGCGAGUGCUCCGUCAUGGUGCAGUUGCUAAGUUCACGCGAUAAGCGUUCCACCUGCCCGAGUACGAUCGCAAGGUUGAAACUUAAAGGAAUUGACGGGGGCCCGCACAAGCGAUGGAGCAUGAGGCUCAAUUAGAGCAACGCCGAAGAACCUUACCUAGGCUGGAACGCUAAAGGACCGCUCGUGAAAGGGAGCUUCCCCUUUGGGGCGUUUAGCGAGGUAGUGCACGGCUGUUGUCAGCUCGAGUAGUGAGAUGCUGGGUUAAGUCCCGCAAUCGCUGCGUAACCGCUUGUGGGUAGUUACCAGCGGGUAGUGCCGGGGAGUUUAGUGAGACCGCCUGCGCAAGCAGUGAGGAAGGUGGGGACGAUGUCAAGUCAUCAUAUUCCUUAUGCAUAGGGCUGCACACUUGUUACAAUGGCGGGGACAAAGAGCAGCCACCUGGUGAGAGGGAGCGAAUCUAUGAAAGCGGGUUUCAGUUGGGCUUGGAGUCAGCAACCCGACUCCUUGAAGCAGGAAUGGGUAGUAAUAGCGGAUCAGCAAUGCUGUGAUGAAUCCGUUGCGGGGCUUGGUACACACCACCCGUCAAUCCAUGGAAGCGGAGAGCAUCCGAAGUCCGGGAGUAAUCUCCUCGCGUUAGCAGGACAGAGAGCGGCACGAAGGAGAGGUCAGUGAAGGGGGCAU
rnacentral:rRNA from 1 species